rnacentral:hammerhead_ribozyme from 1 species
AUCCAGCUGACGAGUCCCAAAUAAGACGAAGUGACGCGUCCUGGAU